rnacentral:tRNA from 1 species
GGAGUUGUGUCUCAGUGGUAGAGAGCUCAUCUACCACAUGUGAGGCCUUGGGUUCGAUCCUCAGAACCACA